GAUCUAUUCUGUCUCCUUAGUUUGUACUGGGUGUUCAGCUCCCUGUCUCUCUAACUUCAGUUUCCUAUAUGACUCCACUUUUUCAAACAGCAUGCCUCUGCCUAUCCAUGAUGUCUCAGCCACCUUUCUCAGUGAUGAGGAUAGAACAGACGCUUAUGCCAAAGAAUUCCAGAGAAGCAGAUCCUGGUGAGAUGCCACGGUCCUCGGCAGGCUGCGCAGCAAGAGGAGCUCAGACAUAAGCCGACCUGUCCUUGUCCUGGAAGGCUGAUGAAUGAGAAAAACAAAAUCAGACAAAAGAACUGGGGGCAAAUGGUUCCUUGUAUACAACUUGAAACCGAAUCAUCAAGAAGGCAACCGACUG